ACUCAAAGGAAUUGACGGGGGCCCGCACAAGCGGUGGAGCAUGUGGUUUAAUUCGAUGCUAAGCGAAGAACCUUACCAGGGCUUGACAUACUGACUCAAGCUUAUGUGAAAGCAUGGAGUGGUGUGGAGCUUGCUUCACACAGUUAGUACAGGUGCUGCAUGGCUGUCGUCAGCUCGUGCCGUGAGGUGUCCGGUUAAGUCCGGUAACGAGCGCAACCCCUAUGUUUAGUUGCCAGCACGUAAGGUGGGAACUCUAAAGAGACUGCCGGCGACAAGCCGGAGGAAGGUGGGGACGACGUCAAGUCAUCAUGGCCCUUAUGUCCUGGGCUACACACAUGCUACAAUGGCUGAUACAAUGGGUUGCAAAACCGUGAGGCGAAGCCAAUCCCAUCAAAGUCAGUCUCAGUUCGGAUUGUAGGCUGCAACUCGCCUGCAUGAAGUUGGAAUCGCUAGUAAUCGUGGAUCAGCAACGCCACGGUGAAUACGUUCCCGGGCCUUGCACACACCGCCCGU
rnacentral:rRNA from 1 species